GUAGGUGGCAAGCGUUGUCCGGAAUUAUCGGGCGUAAAGCGCGCGCAGGCGGUUCUUUAAGUCUGAUGUGAAAGCCCACGGCUCAACCGUGGAGGGUCAUUGGAAACUGGAGAACUUGAGUACAGAAGAGGAAAGCGGAAUUCCACGUGUAGCGGUGAAAUGCGUAGAGAUGUGGAGGAACACCAGUGGCGAAGGCGGCUUUCUGGUCUGUAACUGACGCUGAGGCGCGAAAGCGUGGGGAGCAAACAGGAUUAGAUACCCUGGUAGUCCACGCCGUAAACGAUGAGUGCUAAGUGUUAGGGGGGUUUUCCGCCCCCCUUAGUGCUGCAGCUAACGCAUUAAGCACUCCGCCUGGGAGUACGGCCGCAAGGCUG
rnacentral:rRNA from 1 species